rnacentral:rRNA from 1 species
CCUACGGGUGGCAGCAGUGAGGAAUAUUGGUCAAUGGCCGAGAGGCUGAACCAGCCAAGUCGCGUGAGGGAAGACGGCCCUACGGGUUGUAAACCUCUUUUGUCGGGGAGCAAAGAGAGUCACGUGUGACUCAUGGAGAGUACCCGAAGAAAAAGCAUCGGCUAACUCCGUGACAGCAGCCGCGGUAAUACGGAGGAUGCGAGCGUUAUCCGGAUUUAUGGGGUUUAAGGGGUGCGCAGGCGGAGGGGCAAGUCCGCGGUCAAAUUGCGGGGCUCAACCCCGUACUGCCGUUGAAACUGCAUCCCUUGAGUGCGCGAGAAGUAUGCGGAAUGCGUGGUGUAGCGGUGAAAUGCAUAGAUAUCACGCAGAACUCCGAUUGCGAAGGCAGCAUACCGGCGCGCAACUGACGCUCAUGCACGAAAGCGUGGGUAUCGAACAGGAUUAGAUACCCCUGUAGUC